ensembl:lncRNA
AUUUUAAUUAGUACCUUUCCCCCCUCCCCCCAAACAGUUUUCUCCUAUGACCAGAAGUGGAAUUUCAUCUCACUCAGCUUUCUCUUCCUUGGUGUUUGUGAUGCAGUUCCAGUGCUAUCCGUGGCAAAGCAGGAAGGGACAUUACACUGUUCAGAUCACACUGUGGCCUUCUGGCUGCUGGAACCAAGACCUGCAGAGAAAGCAUGGGACGUGGUUUGGACUACAGACCCAGACUUCCUUCUCCUACAGGGAGCCACGGAGUCUUACUUGCUUUUGUUUUGGGAAUGGGAAUUCAGACUGAGCUUCAUAGAGGCCUUGUGUUUCAGACCUCCAGUGAAGCAUUCGAAGAGCCUGGAGCGGGCAUGUUCCUGCUGUGGCUGCCCAGGAGUUUGCUGGGCCUGCCUCUACCCCAUCCAUAGCUGCCACCAGAUGCCAGCAGACCAGUGGAACCCAAUGUCUCUCCUGCUAACAGCUGGAUCCAGAUCACAUAUGGAUGUGGUACAUCUUGUGGGCAAGCUCAAGGAAGAGAAAACAACAGCUCUCUAGUUGGGCAUGGAGCUCAGUCUCUGGGGCUACUGCAGGAAAACCAGCACCUUGGGGAACUCAGAUGUCCAGCUCUGAUACAGCAUUCCCUCAUGCAUCCAGGAUUUUUCUAAUGAUUAAUGCCUUAAUGCUAGUAUGUUGGUAAGGAAAAAAAAUCCCACAAAUAACAUAUUUUCCUUUUUUUUGGUAUUUUUUUUCUUCUUUUGUGUUCUUAAUAGCUGCUGGGAAGCAGAAAACAGCCACAUGUGAUUUUGUAUUUAAUAAUUCUGAUUAUCUUUACACCUCUUUUUCAUAUGAGCAUAUCUUUUUUUGCAACUUUCUUGUAAUUUAUCUUGAUUUUUUGGUCUACUUUUUAACAGGUUAUUCAUAUUCUGGCUUAGUUCUUUAUCUGAAUUUAAUAUAACAGUGUCCCCCAAUUUUAGAUAUUUGACUAGAAAAAGAUGGUUCUCUGCUAGUGUUAAGCCUGAUUACAUCUGAAUUUUAUUGCAUGGGAAAACUCUUUCAUAUAUAAACUCAAUCCCGCUAUUGGUAUUUCAAAUCUUUCUGUCUUAAAGCACUGCAGUAAUGCCCCAAGCCUGCAAUCAGACCCAUGUAAGGUAAACUACUCUAUUGACAACAUCCCCCUCAAGUCAGACAGCUCUCAACAUGCACCCACACCCAGCUGUAGAAGACAGAACACCUUUCAUAUUUAGAUUAAGCCCCAGACAGCACAAUCUUCCUAAAGCAAAAUGCCAUUGAUAGUCUUUGGCAAUAGCCUGCUAAAUAGCAAGGGCCAGUUUUUCAAUAUAAUUUUCCCCAUCACAGCAUCUUAACAGAAAUUAUUUCUCUUAUACAUCAAUCUUUAAAUGAGCAGCUUGGUUACAGAAAGUCUAAAGUCGUCAGUAAUAGUUCUGGUUCCAGGAUGACAGACUCUCAUACGUUUCACUAGCAACUUCUGAUACUGCCAAACAAACUCCAAGUUGUAGACCAGCUGUACAAGUCUUUUUUUAAAAAUACUGCACUAGUCAGUCAAUUUUGCAUUUUCAUUUUCUUCCUGAAAUGUCCUUAUGUAUGUAUAUUGAUGGAUUUUUAAAGGUUGUGUAUAUUAACUUUCACUGGCUAAAAAUUAUUUCUGACACUUUUUAGAAAAACAUUGACUUCUGUUCCCAGUCACAGCUUUUUGUUUAUUAAAAUAAAAAAUACAAAUUGGGAAAAAAAUUCUUUAUG